rnacentral:rRNA from 1 species
AGCUAGAGUAUGAUAGAGGAAAGCAGAAUUUCUAGUGUAGAGGUGAAAUUCGUAGAUAUUAGAAAGAAUACCAAUUGCGAAGGCAGCUUUCUGGAUCAUUACUGACACUGAGGAACGAAAGCAUGGGUAGCGAAGAGGAUUAGAUACCCUCGUAGCCCAUGCCGUAAACGAUGUGUGUUAGACGUUGGAAAUUUAUUUUCAGUGUCGCAGCGAAAGCGAUAAACACACCGCCUGGGGAGUACGACCGCAAGGUUAAAACUCAAAUGAAUUGACGGGGACCCGCACAAGUAGUGGAGCAUGUGGUUUAAUUCGAAGAUACGCGCAGAACCUUACCAACACUUGACAUGUUCGUCGCGACUCUAAGAGAUUAGAGUUUUCGGUUCGGCCGGACGAAACACAGGUGCUGCAUGGCUGUCGUCAGCUCGUGUCGUGAGAUGUUGGGUUAAGUCCCGCAACGAGCGCAACCCUCACUUUUAGUUGCCAUCAUUAAGUUGGGCACUCUGAAAGAACUGCCAGUGAUAAGCUGGAGGAAGGUGGGGAUGACGUCAAGUCCUCAUGGCCCUUACGUGUUGGGCUACACACGUGCUACAAUGGUAUCUACAACAGGAAGCAAGACUGCGAGGUCAAGCAAAUCCUUAAAAGAUACCUCAGUUCGGAUUGCACUCUGCAACUCGAGUGCAUGAAGCUGGAAUUACUAGUAAUCGUGGAUCAGCGUGCCACGGUGAAUGCGUUCCCGGGUCUUGUACACACCGCCCGUCACACCAUGGGAGUUGGUUCUACCUUAAGGCAAGGUUUAAUACCCUUGACCACGGUAUAGUCAGCGACUGGGGUGAAGUCGUAACAAGGUAAC